rnacentral:rRNA from 1 species
AACUGCUGGAAACGGUGGCUAAUACCCCAUGUGCUCGGUGGUUCGGUCCAUCGAGUAAAGCCCUUCGGGACGCUUUGGGAGGGGCCUGCGGCCCAUCAGGUAGUUGGUAGGGUAACGGCCUACCAAGCCGAUGACGGGUAGGGGGCGUGAGAGCGUGAACCCCCACACUGGCACUGAGAUACGGGCCAGACUCCUACGGGAGGCAGCAGUGAGGAAUAUUGCCCAAUGGACGCAAGUCUGAGGCAGCAACGCCGCGUGGGCGAUGAAGGCCUUCGGGUUGUAAAGCCCUUUUCUGGGGGAAGAGGAAGGACGGUACCUCAGGAAUAAGUCACGGCUAACUACGUGCCAGCAGCCGCGGUAAUACGUAGGUGGCAAGCGUUAUCCGGAUUCACUGGGCGUAAAGCGCGUGCAGGCGGUUUCGUAAGUCGGACGUGAAAGCUCCUGGCUUAACUGGGAGAGGUCGUUCGAUACUGCGGGGCUUGAGGUCGGGAGAGGGACGUGGAAUUCCCGGUGUAGUGGUGGAAUGCGUAGAUAUCGGGAGGAACACCAGUGGCGAAGGCGACGUCCUGGCCCGCACCUGACGCUGAGACGCGAAAGCGUGGGUAGCGAACGGGAUUAGAUACCCCGGUAGUCCACGCUGUAAACGGUG